GAUAUGUUAUUACCAAUAUCAGAUUUCACAGGGGCAAAGGCAGCUCCAAACUUGUCUGGAAUCGAAACAAUGAAUCGAGAAAAAUAUGGUCUUGUCAGCAUCCAAACACAUUAAAUUCAAUCCGCUUUCGGGUUAAAAAUCAAACUCUCAUACCUAAAACAGGCAGCAAGUGUUUGCACACAUCCAAGAAAGGUUUGGCAAGCAUCUCGCCGGAUUUGGAUUUAACAUGAUUCAUCCCUUCCAAAGCAGAAGAGAAAACAGUUCCUGAUCCUGCCAUUAUUGUGUUUAGUUAUCUGCAC
rnacentral:lncRNA from 1 species